AGUGGCGCACGGGUGCGUAACACGUAUGCAAUCUGCCCCUAACAGGGGAAUAGCCCGGCGAAAGUCGGAUUAAUACCCCAUAACAAUGUGAAUCGGCAUCGGUUUAUAUUUAAAGCUCCGGCGGUUAGGGAUGAGCAUGCGCGACAUUAGCUAGAUGGCGGGGUAACGGCCCACCAUGGCUACGAUGUCUAGGGGGUCUGAGAGGAUUUUCCCCCACACUGGUACUGAGACACGGACCAGACUCCUACGGGAGGCAGCAGUAGGGAAUAUUGGGCAAUGGACGCAAGUCUGACCCAGCCAUGCCGCGUGAAGGACGAAGGCCCUAUGGGUUGUAAACUUCUUUUGUACGGGAAGAAACCCCUCUACGUGUAGGGGGCUGACGGUACCGUAAGAAUAAGGAUCGGCUAACUCCGUGCCAGCAGCCGCGGUAAUACGGAGGAUCCAAGCGUUGUCCGGAUUUAUUGGGUUUAAAGGGUGCGUAGGCGGAUUACUAAGUCAGAGGUGAAAGUUUGCAGCUUAACUGUAAAAUUGCCUUUGAAACUGGUAGUCUUGAGUAUAAUUGAGGUGGGCGGAAUGUGUCAUGUAGCGGUGAAAUGCUUAGAUAUGAUACAGAACACCGAUUGCGAAGGCAGCUCACUAAACUGUAACUGACGCUGAGGCACGAAAGCGUGGGGAGCAAACAGGAUUAGAUACCCUGGUAGUCCACGCCCUAAACGUUGAAUACUCGUUGUUGGCG
rnacentral:rRNA from 1 species